GCCCCCAACCUCUCCAGCGCCAAGCUCCCGGUGGAUCCUCACAGAGCAGUGCAGAUCAGGCAGGGCUGGCCCCUUCGGCUCCACCCAGUAAGCUGACGCCUCGCUCCCUCCCAGCACUGAAGCCCUGCCAGACCCUACUGGCCUAAACGCUGUCCUCGGCUCCCGACAUCAGACCAGGCUCUGCUCAGAGAAGGGGCCACUUCUCAAGCCGCACAGGACAGCAUGAAGAGAAAGCAGCAAGGUUAGAGGCAGUCAGACAGGGGCCCAAGCAGGCUGGAGGGCCUUUUCAGAAGCUGCAUGGAGGCGAGUUUGGUGCAGGAGAGAGAAGGCAAGCACCAGACAGACCCACCACCAAAAUCCCAGAGGGGGCGAGUCCACCUGCUCAGGACAGCGCUGCUCCAUCAUCCCUUGCAGUGGGCAGUUCCUGGCAGACACCAUCUGAGCACCCCUCCCACCUGCUCCUCACUGGAGCUGAGGUAACCUGGGGAGAGUUUCUCCAGGCAGCAACAGCAGCGGCUAGCUGGAAAGAGAGUGUCUGAGGGCAGCAACAAGCACUUCGAAUGUUUCAGUCAAAGUGAAGAGCUCACAGCGGGCAGCGGCACUGGACAGCGAGACUCCAGCCACAAGGGAGCCGUGAGGGCAAGUGAUACCCUGUGCCUUUCUUUAGGGGGUUAACUCCACAGCUCCAAAUUCCUACUCAGAUGCUUUCCUACCUGACUCCUGGAUAUCUCAGCCCCACUCAGAAACACCACCUGUCAUGCUGGCAGGGAGCGGGCCCCCGCACCCCGAGACUCAGGGCUCACACUGUGGCUGACAGUCACCCCACCACAGGCCCAGCCAGCCACAACAAGGUUCUGCCUCAAAUGCCAAGGCCCGUCAGUUCUAUUUCCGUCCCUGCCUAUGGUGCCCUGGCCUAACCUGACCAGCCUGGCCCCUGCGCCCCCUUCCUUCAGGGCGACUCCAGUACUAGACAAGCCUUCUGCGUACACCUGACACCUUGCAUGUACGUCUCCAGGCCUCACACACAGGUGGGAGACAGGACUGGGGGAAACUGGGGCUGAGUCGUGCUCCAACGCUGGCACUUCACGCCAGUGUCACACUUCCACCCACUUUGAGCACACACCAUCCUAAAGUAUCAGUGCGAGGCCAGGGCUCAACAAACGCCCAUGCCAACCUGUGGCCCCCAGCAAAGCCGACACCAGUGCAUGACGUGCUGGAGGUUAUUCUUUUCGUUGAUCUUCAGAAAAACUUCAUUCACAAAAACAUCAGUCAAGCACGUCUGCGUACGUGUGCUGAACCCUAUGGCCUCACCCAACUCCCCAGGGGCAAAGCCAAGGGGGCGGCCCCACACCAGGCUUCUCCAGACAGCACUCUUCCCAGGCCCAUCGCAGGAGAGAAGGCACCAGUGGGACUGGCACAAGGCCACACUAACUGCCCUGCAGAGAUGACACAGGGAACCUGCUCCUCAAGAGUCUGUGUGCCAGGUGCUCCAGGAGAAGGCACUCUCUAGGGGGCCACCCUGUCCACAGAGCCGGGCACUGGAGGGCUCAGGAACAUCCGUGUCGCACUUGAACCAGCCCACUUACUGGCAGCUCAGGGUGCCCAGAGAUGAGUGGGGUGUGAGAACAGCUCCUGCAGAAGCCCCAUAAUGUAAGAGAGAUCGGCUUCUACGUCGCCGCCUGCCGGGACCACCUGAUUCAAGUGAAGACCCCGGUCACUCUUAGAGAACCCUGUGUGUUCCUUCUGAGUCACUCAGCAGUCAUGUCCUUCUUUCCCGCGAUCAUGAGCGCGCGAGGAUCCACGAGGGUUGGGACCACCCCCGUCCCGCGGGGCCCAGAGCCCAAGUGCAGUAGGCGCUGAAUAAAUUCGUGCUGGACAAAG